AAAGACUGCCUUCUCAUGGGGGAAGAAUUCAUUAGAAAUCAGGAACAAAUGAAACCUUUAGAAGAAAAGCAAGAGGAGGAGAGAUCUAAGGUGGAUGAUCUGAGGGUGACCCCAAUGUCAGUAGGAACCUUGGAAGACAUCACUGAUGAAAAUCAUGCCAUGGUGUCUACAUCUGUGGGCUCAGAACACCAUGUCAGCAUUCUUUCCUUUGUGGACAAGGAUCUGCUGGAACCAGGCUGCUCCAUCCUGCUCAGCCACAAAGUGCAUGCCGUCGUAGGCGUGCUCACGGAUGACACGGAUCCCUUGGUUCUAGUGAUGAAGGUAGAAAAGGUGCCCCAGGAAACCUAUGCUAUCGGGGGGUUGGACAACCAAAUCCAGGAAAUUAAGGAAUCGGUGGAGCUUCCUCUCACUCAUCCUGAAUAUUAUGAAGAGAUGGGUAUAAAGCUCCCAAAGGGGGUCAUUCUCUAUGGUCCACCUGACACAGGUAAAACCUUAUUAGCCAAAGCAGUAGCAAACCAAACCUCAGCCACUUUCUUGAGAAUGGUUGGCUCUGAAAUUAUUAAGAAGUACCUACGUGAUGGGCCCAAACUCGUUUGGGAAUUGUUUCGAGUUGGGGAAGAACACGCACCAUCCAUCGUGUUUAUUGAUGAAAUUGAUGCCAUUAGAACAAAAAGAUAUGACUCAAAUUCUGGUGGUGAGAGAGAAAUUCAAUGAACAAUGUUGGAACUGUUGAACCAGUUGGAUGGAUUUGAUUCAAGGGGUGACAUGAAAGUUAUCAUGGCCACAAACGGAAUAGAAACUUGGGAUCCAGCACUUAUCAGACCAGGCCCCACUGACAGGAAGAUUGAGCUCCCCCUGCCCGACGAAAAGACUAAGAAGUGCAUCUUUCAAAUCCACACAAGCAGGUUGACGUUGGCCAAUGAUGUGACCCUGGACGACUUGAUCAUGGCUACAGAUGACCUCUCUGGUGCCGCCAUCAAGGUGAUCUGUACAGAAGCUCGUCUGAUGGCCUUGAGAGAACGUAGAAUGAAAGUAACAAAUGAAGACUUCAAGAAAUCUAAAGAAAAUGUUCUUUAUAAAAAGAAGGCACCCCUGAGGACUGUAUCUCUAGUGGACCAUAGCUGCCUUCAAGGAAAUAAUCAGGGGUGUCCCGACCCCGUGAAGGGAUGA